CCCCUGUUGACUAGAGAGAUGUUGUUCUUGGGAUUAGAGAUGUCUGACCUUGAAGGUCACAGGUCACCAUCCUUGAAUGAGGAGCAGGAGCGCAAGGUUAGGAUUGAAACUUGAGGUGCGUCUGUUGGAGAUCACAGGGAAAAGCCUUCCAAACAAAGAGGAAUGCCUCGGUCAGGGUGAGAAAGGACAAAUUCCCCAAGAAUUAUGAGCUCCUUCCGGAUGAUCGCAUACCUGCAGACCCCCAAAGGAUGCACUGUGGCUGAAAGAGGGGAGAAAGGAGGGGAGAAAGGAGAGGGAGGAUGGCUGGAGCCAGCAGACCAUGUUAUUUAUCAUUAUUCGCAUUCUGGGCAGGCCCAGAGGCCCUGAUGCUGGCAGUUUUAUGGAGAUAGCAACAAAAAGGACAUCCCGUCAUCACAGCAGCCUGGAGGUGGAGCGCUGGAAGAAAGGAGGCUGCCCAGAAGUAUCUUUGCAGGAAGGGAAGAAAAGAAGAGAUUCCCUCAAGGGCAAGGAAGUAACAUAGGCUACAAGAGGAAAUUGCACUUCUAAUCUGUGUCUAACAUAACUGUGACAGCUUCCCACUGUGAGAUCCUGAAGAGCUCUGGGGUGUAGGUUCCAGCUGCAUGCCUCAGUUUCCCCACAGAAAUAACUAUAGAGGGGCAAAGAGUACCUCAAGCCUUAUUUCAGGGUUUCAAGGACUGAAGUGAGUAAAGAAACCUCAUUUCUCUAACGUGAUUCUCAUCUAAGUGAGGAAAGAAACGUAUUCACUAGCUCAGGUACACCUGGCUCGUGCCCAUGCACCCUGCAGGCAGGAGUCUGUGCUUUCUGCCCCUGGGUACCUAUGCAUGAGCAGUACCUCUGCUCUCCAGGGAAGAAGGUUGCAUUGGUGGUGUGAUCAUGAUCACAGCAUAGCCUUGUGACAGAUCCCCUCAGCUCUUACGCUCAGAGUUCAAGUCUAGGCUCUAAGGUAUGCAGGUGAAAUCCACUGGGGCUGAGAGGAUUUAAGGAUGCAGAAAAGUGUUUGAGGAUCUGAGAACUUCCACACAACCUCAGCCCACUGCGCUGAAGCCCCACAGUUUAACCUGACUCCACUCCAGACCCUUCUCUGGUGUCAAUAUCAUCUAAAGGACCUGAAGGUCUGAACGACCUCACUGUAUUUUGGCACAUUUUGAAGAUGGCAGCCAAGACCUCUUUGUGCCAUUCAUGCAAACAAUGCACAGAGAGAUGUGCAGGAAAACUGCAGAGGCCAAGGCUAGCUGUGGUGCUUAAACUCGAGGGCAUUUUCCCUUUAGGGAAGGGAAGGAUGGGGCCAGGAGCAGUCCCCCACCCAUGGAACAGCCCCAAGCAACGCUAGAGGGAGCCCCGGGCUCAAUUAAUUAACGGGCUAAAAUUAGCCGAGGGGGAGAAACAUUGAAGCCGGGUGGGAAAGUGAGAACGGUGUUAGUUGUGUUUUCAAGGGGUUUUCAAGCUGCAUUUCUGUCAAGUUACACCAAAAAGCGACAUGCAUGGCAGCGAGGCAACACUAGUGCAAAAUGCAGCAUGGAAAUGGCUCUAUGCUCUGAGUGCAGUGGGAGGAGGUCACAGGCACAAGACUAUGGGAGAGGGUUCCAGAGGCUGAGAUCACUCUUGGGUGCUGGCUGCAUGGCUACAGAGGGGUCUCCUAUUUUAGGGAUGCUUGCAGGGUGCUGCCUGCAUGCAGAAGGGUCUGCAGAUCCACCCAGGGAUGUCACAGCCUUAGUUUGCUCUUCUGCAUUCUUUCCCACAUGGUGCAGAGCUUUGCUGGAUGUCCAAAGGCAUCCUGAAGGCAAUGGGGGGUUUUCCACUUGUUUCCUUUGGUGCAGACCUUACUAGAGCUCCUGUGGGUGGGGGAAGGGGAAGGCAGGCUCCCAACAGGACCCCAUGGCAUGGUGGAUGGGAUGGAACAGUGUGAGUGAUCAACUCAGGCUUGAGCGUUAGCAAAACUGAACCAAAAAGGGAGCUCAGCAGAAGCCAGAACAUAAAAGCUGCCAUUGGGCUCAUUUGUUAUCAUUUUAAUCUUAUUAACAUCCCAUCCAGUGGCUCUUUGGAGAAUAAAACAUUGAUAUUAUAUAUUUCUCUUGGCAGAAACCAACCAACCUUAGAAAAGAUGAAGUACUCAGUAAAGGAAAAAAAAAAAAAAAGGAAUCAAGUUUUAUAUUGUCUUUUUAAUUAACCGAUCUAAUAUUGCCUGAGUAUGCAGGAGAACAAGGAAGUAGCAGAGAUUAUGUUAAGGGUUUGCUGUAUCCCAUGUUCUAAGUGUAAAUAAUGUUCUUGUUAAUUUAAAACCAAGGCUGACUGUCUUUAUGACUUCAUUGCACUCACAUUAGCUCUACCUUUAGGCAGUGUCAUGGGUGCAAAUAGAUUGGGUUGAAAACUUCCCUAGAGCCACUUUAAAGUGACAUCUAAUCUUUCCCUUUAGUGGUGUUUAUUCAACUUCACAAGAGCAUUUGAAGCACCAUUAGGCAGAGAAAUGGACCUUCUCUCCUGCUGGUGCCCUUAUCCAAAUCACAACCCCCAAAAAUCUGUUUCAUAUCAGGCCAACUCUCCAGGGCUCUAGAGAGCAGCUGAAGGAGACGUGGGCUUCCUCUUUAUGAGAGUUAAAUACAUAAAGGAUUUAUGUUUUGCAUUUCUUACUGCCUGGUGGAAGUCUCCAAGCAUCUUGGGAACCUCCUGGCUCGCACAAUGCAGUGGGAAUGGGGACAGAGAAAGACUUGAGGACGGAACCAUGGAGACAGAGGAUUCCUCACAAACCAGAAUGCCUGCCAGGGUAUGGUGGCCUGCUGUUGGGAUGGAUUUUAACCAAGGAAAAGCGGAAAAUGAAGUGCUGGGAAGGAAACCCCAUGAGUUUUGUGGAUGGGACAGACCUCUGUCACCUUCUGCCUUGGCCAUCUCUUGGUUCUGGCCAGUUUAGUCCUCAGUGGAUGGUAUGGUCACACACAUUUUUGGUGGAGAAAGGAUUAUAUUAGAGGACAGGAGAGGCAAAGCAUCCCCGAGGUCUGGCAGGUGCAGGAGUUAAGGGCAAGGAGGGAAGGACUGCAAGGCUGUGGGAUGCAACUUUCUCCUCUCAUCCAGGAGGGGGCAAUCCGUGGCUGGAACUGAAGUGAAAGGAGCGCCGGAUAAAGAGAUUUUUCUUUUCACUGCUCCUUCCAGGGAAAAGCUCAAAUUACUGUGAUGGAGGAAGGCUGUAAAAUGAAAACACAGAUGGAGGAACUUAAAGGGACUGUGGGUUUGGGGUAGCCCGUUUUUCUUUACAUUGUGGCAUUAAUUCUUACAAACUAUCUCUCCCAAUUAAAAGGAAAAAAGAGAGUUAAACUGGAUUUUCUUUUGAAUCACCUGGAACUUUAUGCUGACUGAUGCAUAUCCAUCAGCAUAUCCCAUCAUUUAUUUUCAUUAAGCUUGUGUAUUUAACUCAUCUUCUUUGGCCUUCCUUCCUUCCAAAGCCCCAGACAGAAGAUGCAGCUGCAUGUCGGGUACAACAAGCAGAUUUAUACAUGCAGCCAUUCUCUCAGCCUAACGUGUCUUUGAUUUCUGCCACACACACUUUUAUUUAUACAGUGCAUUCUCAUAUAGCAAACAGUCGACUCCUUGACCUUUGGAGAUGGGCUGGUGAACAACACACGGGCAAAGGUUUGUUCCAAGGUAUAUCUUAUAUCAUUGGGUGAGAUAGACCAAAUAGUUCAGCCUCUUCUCUGCCUUAGUUUCCCCAUCUGAAAGCAAAAAAAACCCAAGAAAUAAUGAAACUGCAAUGUUCUGCAGAAUUGCACAUUCACAAACCGCAAAUUAAAAAGAUGGGGAAAGAGUUUCAAGAUGCUUCUGAGUAAAAAAUCACCCACUGGAGGAGAACUGUUGGACAUCUCAGGGGCUUCCCAGCUGCAUUCUGGGGGAAGGUAUAGAAAACCUAAUGUACAGCGCUGGAACAGGAGUGGGCAUCCCACUGGGCCACUUCGUCCUGGUGAGGGCUUAUGGCCAGGAAAGCAAUGAGAGCUCAGAGAAAGAAUACCUGGAAAAUAAAUGAACAAAACCGUGUUCUGUCUCUUGCUAACUGUUAAC
ensembl:lncRNA